rnacentral:rRNA from 1 species
AUUGAACGCUGGCGGCAGGCCUAACACAUGCAAGUCGAGCGAGCGGCGGACGGGUGAGUAAUGUAUGGGGACUGCCCGAUAGAGGGGGAUAACUACUGGAAACGGUGGCUAAUACCGCAUACUAUCGGAUAACCCAUAGUGGAUUAGCUAGUAGGUGGGGUAAAGGCUCACCUAGGAGACGAUCUCUCGAUGGUCUGAGCGGAUGAUCAGCCACACUGGGACUGAGACACGGCCCAGACUCCUAUGGAGGCAGCAGUGGGGAAUAUUGCACAAGGGGCGCAAGCCUGAUGCAGCCAUGCCGCGUGUAUGAAGAAGGCCUUAGGGUUGUAAAGUACUUUCAGCGGGGAGGCGUUACCGACAGAAGAAGCACCGGCUAACUCCGUGCCAGCCGCCGCGGUAAUAC